GAUGAACGCUAGCGGCAGGCCUAAUACAUGCAAGUCGAACGGUGUCUUCGGACAUAGUGGCGCACGGGUGCGUAACACGUAUGCAACCUACCUUACAUUGGGGGAUAGCCUUUCGAAGGGGAGAUUAAUACCGCAUAAGACAGUAGCUGGGCAUCCAGCAGCUGUUAAAGAUUUAUCGAUGUAAGCUGGGCAUGCGUCCAAUUAGCUAGUUGGUGAGGUAACGGCUGACCAAGGCAAUGAUUGGUAGGGGAACUGAGAGGUCAAUCCCCCACACUGGCACUGAGAUACGGGCCAGACUCCUACGGGAGGCAGCAGUAGGGAAUAUUGGGCAAUGGACGCAAGUCUGACCCAGCCAUGCCGCGUGCAGGAUGAAGGCGUUAUGCGUUGUAAACUGCUUUUAUACAGGAAGAAACGACUCUUGCGAGAGGCAUUGACGGUACUGUAUGAAUAAGCACCGGCUAACUCCGUGCCAGCCGCCGCAGUAACAC
rnacentral:rRNA from 1 species